CUUCGAUAUUUCGUAUACUUGUCCCUAGAAUACACAGACUUGUCCAACUUGUCUGUCCAGACAAGUCCAGAUUGUUAUAUUUUUCACAGUUGUGGUCAUUGUGAAGGAAUGUAUGAUCAAGAAGAGUGGGGAAAAGCAAACUCCUUUCUAAUCUUGGAGGAUGGAGAAGAGAAGAGAAACAGGAAAUGAGAUGGAAGGAGGAAAGAUGUCAGGCAAGGAGGUGUCUCCAUGUCUCUUCCUGAGACUCCAGCCCACGUAAAGGGGGUAUCUCGACCCCAGUCUUGUCCUCCGAAUCAAUAGUACAGUGCCUCAAAAAGCCCUCAGAACCACGUCUGCCUGCCAAGGCAAAAGCAGAUACAAAAGAAGAGAAGUCACAUGGCGUUAUCUCCAAAAGACUCUGCUUAUCUUGAAUACUUGAAAAACAGAAUGAGUCUUGAUGAGGAAGAAUUACAGUCUUAGCAUAUUCAGGACGCCCUGGCUACCUCAGUAAGGCAUGUUGAAUAGGGCAUCUGGUGAGAGAUGGUGAAUCCUUGAAGCAGCCACUGUUCAUCUUGCUCCCACCACAUGGAAGCCACUAUAAUAGACAUUCAGACAAAUAAAGAGGAAGAUCGAUA